GGGAACUACGAGCCAAGCUUAAAACCCAAAGGACUUGACGGUACCCCAUAUCCCCCUAGAGGAGCCUGUCCUAUAAUCGAUAACCCCCGUUUAACCUCACCAUUUCUAGCAACUCAGCCUGUAUACCUCCGUCGUCAGCUUACCACGUGAGCGCUAGUGAGCUCAAUGUUUUUUCAACUAAACGUCAGGUCAAGGUGCAACACAUGAGAUGGGAAGAGAUGGGCUACACUUUCUAGCAUAGACCACACGAAAGACUAACUAUGAAAUCUAGUCAGAAGGCGGAUUUAGAAGUAAAAAGUAACCAGAGAGU
rnacentral:rRNA from 1 species